rnacentral:rRNA from 1 species
CACCGGCGGCCCGAGUGGCGGUCACUAUUAUUGGGGCUAAAGCGUCCGUAGCCGGCUUGGCAAGUCCCCUGGGAAAUCUGGCGGCUUAACCGUCAGGCGUCCAGAGGAUACUGCCAGGCUUGGGACCGGGAGAGGUGAGAGGUACCUCAGGGGUAGGGGUGAAAUCUUGUGAUCCCUGAGGGACCACCAGUGGCGAAGGCGUCUCACUAGAACGGGUCCGACGGUCAGGGACGAAAGCUGGGGGCACGAACCGG